AAUUUAUAUUGCCUCCUUUCUUGUUGAGAGUCUGUACUUUAAUUUUGUAGUAUUGCAUACACUGAAUAAUCUCAUGAGGGAUAAUGUAAUGUAGAGUCAUCAAGGUGCUGUGAUACCUUUCCAGAUUCUGGGGGCUGAAGCUCAGAUGGUUCAGAUAAUGUUGAAACCACGAGAAAAAAUUAUUGCAAAACCAAGUUCUAUGUGCUUCAUGUCUAGGUCCAUUGAAAUGGAGAAUGUUUUAAUCCCUGAAAAUGAAGUGGGUGUCUGGCAGUGGUUUUUGGCAAGGCUGUUACUAGUGUAAUCUUCCGUAAUCCUGGUCCAAGUGAUGGAUUUGUUGGAAUUGCUACACCUUCUCUUGCAAGAAUCCUCCCAAUUGACUUGGCGAAGUUUGGAGGAGAGAUUUUAUGCCUGCCAGAUGCAUUCCUUUGCUCCGUCAAUGAUGUGAAGGUUAGCGAUGCAUUAGAUCACAGGGCACGUAAUGUUAUGCCUAAUAUAGAGG